AACGAACGCUGGCGGCAGGCCUAACACAUGCAAGUCGAACGCCGUAGCAAUACGGAGUGGCAGACGGGUGAGUAACGCGUGGGAACCUACCUUACGGUCGGGAAUAGCUCAGGGAAACUUGGGGUAAUACCGGAUACGCCCUUACGGGGAAAGAUUUAUCGCCGUUAGAUGGGCCCGCGUAGGAUUAGCUAGUUGGUGAGGUAAUGGCUCACCAAGGCGACGAUCCUUAGCUGGUCUGAGAGGAUGAUCAGCCACACUGGGACUGAGACACGGCCCAGACUCCUACGGGAGGCAGCAGUGGGGAAUAUUGGACAAUGGGCGAAAGCCUGAUCCAGCCAUGCCGCGUGAGUGACGAAGGCCUUAGGGUUGUAAAGCUCUUUUGGCGGGGAAGAUAAUGACGGUACCCGCAGAAUAAGCUCCGGCUAACUUCGUG
rnacentral:rRNA from 1 species